UACGGAGGGUGCGAGCGUUAUUCGGAAUUACUGGGCGUAAAGCGCGUGUAGGCGGUGAUGCAAGUCUGAUGUGAAAGCCCUGGGCUUAACCUGGGAAGUGCAUUGGAAACUGCAUGUCUUGAGUACUGGAGAGGAAGGGGGAAUUCCCGGUGUAGAGGUGAAAUGCGUAGAGAUCGGGAGGAAUACCAGUGGCGUAGGCGCCCUACUGGACGGUAACUGACGCUGAGACGCGAAAGCGUGGGGAGCAAACAGG
rnacentral:rRNA from 1 species